UUCUAAUUCUCAUAUCUCUUCAGAUAAUGUCUUUGUUGUUAUCGUGUUGUCGUUAGCUUUGCGAUCGGUUCUUUUCCUUGAUUUCUUUAUUGUUGCUUAAUUUCUCUGAUUUCAGAUUGUUCAUUUCUCUGUGCUGAAUGCAUGUGUACUGAUUGCAUAACUCCUGCAUGACGCUGAUAAUGAAACCUUACUGACGCAAAUCCUGGUCUGACUAGUUCAAGCACAUUGAGAUAACAAUGGAAGAAUACAAAGAAGACCAGCAAGCCAAUUAUACCCAAAAAAAAAAA